rnacentral:rRNA from 1 species
UACAGAGGUGCCAAGCGUUGUUCGGAUUUAUUGGGCGUAAAGGGUGCGUAGGUGGUCAUGCAAGUCGAAUGUGAAAUACCGGAGCCUAACUCCGGAACGGCAUUCGAAACUGCAGGGCUCGAGGUCUGGAGAGGUGACUGGAAUUCUCGGUGUAGCAGUGAAAUGCGUAGAUAUCGAGAGGAACACCAGAGGCGAAAGCGAGUCACUGGACGGAACCUGACACUGAUGCACGAAAGCUAGGGGAGCAAACGG